UUCUGCUUCUGAGUUCAUUAA
rnacentral:piRNA from 1 species